CUCUUGACAUCCAGAGAACUUUCCAGAGAUGGAUUGGUGCCUUCGGGAACUCUGAGACAGGUGCUGCAUGGCUGUCGUCAGCUCGUGUUGUGAAAUGUUGGGUUAAGUCCCGCAACGAGCGCAACCCUUAUCCUUGUUUGCCAGCGAGUAAUGUCGGGAACUCCAGGGAGACUGCCGGUGAUAAACCGGAGGAAGGUGGGGACGACGUCAAGUCAUCAUGGCCCUUACGAGUAGGGCUACACACGUGCUACAAUGGCGCAUACAGAGGGCAGCAAGCUAGCGAUAGUGAGCGAAUCCCAAAAAGUGCGUCGUAGUCCGGAUUGGAGUCUGCAACUCGACUCCA
rnacentral:rRNA from 1 species